ensembl:lncRNA
UUUUUCUUUUUUUUUGAGACAGAGUUUCACUUUUGCUGCCCAGGUUAGAGUGCAAUGGUGCAAUCUCAGCUCACUGCAACCUCCACCUCCUGGGUUCAAGUGAUUCUCCUGCCUCAGCCUCCCAAGUAACUGGGAUUACAGGCAUGCGCCAUCACGCCUGGCUAAUUUUGUACUUUUUAAAGUAGAGACAGGGUUUCUCCAUGUUGGUCAGGGUGGUCUCGAACUCCUAACCUCAGGUGAUCCACCCACCUUGGCCUCCCAAAGUGCUAGGAUUACAGGCAUGAGCCACCGCACCUGGCCCAAAUAUUACAUUUAAAAGCAAAAAUAAAAACAAACCCACGAGUGCCCAAGCUUCUCUUCUUGCAGUUGCUGCUCACCAUCCUGUGGGCUGGUGCUGUCUGCUUUUGCAACAGUCUCCUCUGACCCCUCUAUCCUUCAAGCUCAGCCUUCUUCAGGAAGCACUCCUGGCUCCUGCAGGCUGUCCCCACAGACCCCUUCCCUUGCCUGUGCCCCUUUGGCACACGGCACUGGCCCUACAAACUAUGCCCUCCUACAUGGUUCCCUGAUGGGCCCUGUCUCCCUGAGAGCAGGAUUCUAGUCCCCCUGUGCUGUUGCUUGGGGAGCCCUGCAGGUCCAGGCUCCAUGCCCAGCCCCACACAGUUCUGGGGACCAGAGGUUGGUUCCCAACCACAUGAAGGAAGGCACACGGAAAAACCAUAAACCCGAAGGCUGAGCGGGAUGUUUGUCAAAGCAGGACAGAUCUGCGGCCAGGGAUGUGGAGGGAGUGCGCUGGCCCUGAGCAGAAGCGAGCAUUUCAGGGAGCUGGGAUGAGCACCGAGGAGCUGGCACGGGCAGGGCACAGCAGGAAGGAGGCCCAUUAACACUUCUGCCCCGACCACACUUCCUCCGGCACCUCGGCCAGGGUGCACACAGGCGCGUUUGUCCCACUUUCACUGCGGCACUGUGUUCGCAGCAGCCCCGGCUCCCCCAGCCCCAGGUGGCUGGGUGUUGCCUGGGCACAAAUGCCCUUUAUGGAUGGGCAGUGCUGGAGGGAGGCAGGUCCUCCUGGGACUGGAACCACCCCACAGAAUUCAGAAUUGACCUUGGAACUGCCUCCCUGCCAACGAUGCAGCCACUCAGGAGGCCUGGUCGCAUGGAGGCCAUGGCAUUGCCCCCAGGGACCCCAAAGCAUGGGGAUAAUCCCAGGAGAAAGCAGCCACCUUUGAAAGGCGAGAGUGCCCCGAGUAAGCCCUCCCUCCAGGGCCCAUCACCCUGCCUGCUGCCACCUCCUGGCACAGGGACUGUGGAUUUUCAUCUCCUUGAGGGGCCUGAGGCGGCAGGCCUGCUUUGGUGAGGCUCGCAAAGGAGAGGGAAAGAAGGAGACCCCAGUGAUGCCUCAUUGCCCUCCUUCCACCAUCCCAGAAGGAGUGGGGCCUCAACCAAGCAUCCAGGGACUACCUUCCCUUCCAUCCCUUCCAUGAAGCCCAGCCCACGUUAGCCUGAGAGUUGAUUCUCAGAAGAGCCUUUGGUGCUCUUUCUUAGGCCAGUGGGUGACAGAAGUCUCACAUGCUACAGACAAACCCUCCAGUCAGGCCCCACUGAACUUCCAUCCCCCAUUCACACUUAGCCUCAAGCCCCUCUCCCCAACCCCAAGGCCUGCCCAGUUUUUUUUUUCAGCUGUCUUUUGCUCAUUUAAUCUAGGGACAGGUGCAGGCACAUGCUGGCUGCCUGUCAGCGCCCCCUAGAGAUGGGCCAAGGACCCGCACCCACCCCCAAGGAGGCCUCAACUGAACGUUUUCUUUGGAGGCUGGGAGGUGAAGGAAGGGAGCCUCGGUUCCCUGCCAGCCACGACGCCAAGCUCACCUCCGUGCAGUUAGCUACUCUCUGUAGAGAUCAUUGUCCUCCUUUGACAUCUGGGGAGACUGAGGCUGGGAGAAGAAAGAGAAGUCAAGCCCUACCUCCUGGGAUUCUCAGUCUAGCUGUGGCGACAUCAGGUGGGAGGGGCUUGUGAGUGGGAACCGAGCAUGUCCUCCCUGGGUGCCCUGCUGUGCCCUGCCUGCAGGGUCACAGGCCCUGUGCUCCUGUGCUCCUGGUGCCCCUUCUCUCUGGCUGGGCUUGGCGUGGGAGGUGGGCCACCUUGAGGAGGGCAGGAGGGGCUGCCAGGCCCUCAGGAAGUCAGAUGAGCUUCCCUAUCUCCUGGAGCUCCCCAGGAAUGGGACACCACCCCGACCACAGCCACCAACGCUUGCUCACUUGGGUUUAUCUCCAACCCUCUGAUCCAACUGGAGGGUGUGACACUGGCCUCAGUCACAAAUCCUUUCACAUCCUGCAGAACCAGAGGCAAAGGUUGGCUGGCCAGGCACAGCCUCUCCGCCAACCCCCGCCGCCCCCGCAACACACACACAGACAGACAGAAACACUUCCUCAUGCCCAGCACCCCCAGCUCCCACACUCACCACACGGAUAUCCCU